GUCUUUAUCUAUGAUGAAUAUAACCAACAAACAAUUAAACGUCACCGUGACUGAGAGAACAUAUUUGUCAUUUUCAAAUUAAAGUGUUUUAAAAAUGUGUAAACAGUUUGUGUACGUUGUAAAAAGGAAUUUUUAAAAUAAAUCGACGGUUUUGCUGAAGUUAUUACCAUCUGCAAGCAGUAACUGAUAUCUAAAACAUGUCAGGAGAUUCUAAUCAUAUCGACUCUCUAAUUACUCAGUAUAGAGCAACAGAGCUAAAUGUUAACAAACUGCAGCAAAUAUACGACAAGCUGGAAGAAGGUCUACUUCAAGACAGUUUGCAUUUGCAAAAUUCUCCAUCAGCAGUAAAAAACGGCACCACUCAAUCUAAGAGUUCUUUAGUGAGUCUUAAAACAUGUAAGAACAAGCCUUUGCUCAAAAACAAGUCGUCAACAUCAGGCGUUUCGGUAAAUAGAAGCAGCAACGGUGACGAAAAACUGAAUAUUUCAAAGGCAGUAGAAAGGAGAAUACAUCAAAUUGAGAAUUGUAAAAACGUCUUACGACAGGCCAAGGCCAUAGACGAGAAAGUAUUUAUUCUCGACUCAUUGAGCAACAAUGAUGUACAAUAGAAAUCGUAAUAAAAUAUAAAGAUUA
rnacentral:lncRNA from 1 species